rfam:Colius striatus contig86558, whole genome shotgun sequence.
AGAUGGUUUCAAAUGUUUUAUUACUAAAAUUGGAAUGAUACAGAGAAGAUUAGCAUGGUCCCUGCGCAAGGAUGACACACAAAUUCGUGACACAUUCCACCACCUC